AACGAACGCUGGCGGCAGGCCUAACACAUGCAAGUCGAGCGAGGACUUCGGUCCUAGCGGCGGACGGGUGAGUAACGCGUGGGAACGUGCCCUUUGCUUCGGAAUAGCCCUGGGAAACUGGGAGUAAUACCGGAUGAGCCCUUUGGGGGAAAGAUUUAUCGGCGGAGGAUCGGCCCGCGUUGGAUUAGGUAGUUGGUGGGGUAAUGGCCUACCAAGCCGACGAUUCAUAGCUGGUUUGAGAGGAUGAUCAGCCACACUGGGACUGAGACACGGCCCAGACUCCUACGGGAGGCAGCAGUGGGGAAUCUUAGACAAUGGGGGAAACCCUGAUCGAGCCAUGCCGCGUGAGCGAUGAAGGCCUUAGGGUUGUAAAGCUCUUUCAGCUGGGAAGAUAAUGACGGUACCAGCAGAAGAAGCCCCGGCUAACUCCGUG
rnacentral:rRNA from 1 species